UACAUAAUCUUAUUGAAUCCAUUACAUUAAAACGCAAAUAACUUGAAAACUACUUACUUUAUCGCAUUGAGACAAGAGUGAUAUUUACGUAAAAAGUAACGAAGAAUCAAAAAAACAAGCUUGAUUAUUACAACAGUGGCGUACAUUGUAAGGGGGGAAAAUGGGCAAAAAGAAAGUAUAUAUCCCUACAGCACGCCUCUGGUAAUAGCGGAAGACUAUCUUUUAACACUAGUAAAGUAUCCUAACAUGUGUAAACUGUGUGUCAAGUUUGAACAAAAAAUAUUAAAAGGUGCUUUAACAAUGGGCCCAAAUCAUUUUAGAACAUUUGUAAUAUAACACUCUGUAUAUCGUUUACGUCAACUUUGCAGUGUACGUCAACUUAACAAGAAAGACGAUGUCUUAUGUAGAGAUGUUGAUGGUGGACAUAUCAGAGACAUGUAAAGAGGAUAGACUUGGCUAGGUAUAUGCCACUCAAUGCAUCAGGGUGUAACGUCGACAUGGGAGUCUAGUCAUCUUUGUCAAUCACAUGCGCGGGAUCGUUUGGUUAAAAGAGAUAGAUAGACCACCGAUCUACUGUUUCCAUGCUGUUUCCGCGUUACGCUUUUUUGGUGAGUAUGCCGAGUCUACGCUUAAUAUGUCAAUGGGACAUAUACAGCAUCUUGUUUGAUUUUAUUUAUUAUUGUUACUAAUAAUUUUGUUAAUUCUUUUUAUUUUUGAUUAAAGUUCUGUGUUAAAGGUU